rnacentral:rRNA from 1 species
UUGUCUCAAAGAUUAAGCCAUGCAUGUCUCAGUACAAGCCUAAGUAAGGUGAAACCGCGAAAGGCUCAUUAAAUCAGUUAUGGUUCCUUAGAUCGUACCCACACUUACUUGGAUAACUGUGGUAAUUCUAGAGCUAAUACAUGCCAACAGAGCUCGAACCGGAUGACGGAACGAGUGCUUUUAUUAGAUCAAAACCAAUCGGUGGCGGGUUCGCUCGUCAUCGCCCAGCUUGGUGACUCUGAAUAACUUAAAGCUGAUCGCACGGUCUCGCACCGGCGACGCAUCUUUCAAAUGUCUGCCUUAUCAACUGUCGAUGGUAGGUUCUGCGCCUACCAUGGUUGUAACGGGUAACGGGGAAUCAGGGUUCGAUUCCGGAGAGGGAGCCUGAGAAACGGCUACCACAUCCAAGGAAGGCAGCAGGCGCGCAAAUUACCCACUCCCGGCACGGGGAGGUAGUGACGAAAAAUAACGAUACGGGACUCAUCCGAGGCCCCGUAAUCGGAAUGAGUACACUCUAAACCCUUUAACGAGGAUCAAUUGGAGGGCAAGUCUGGUGCCAGCAGCCGCGGUAAUUCCAGCUCCAAUAGCGUAUAUUAAAGUUGUUGCGGUUAAAAAGCUCGUAGUCGGAUCUGUGUCUCGCGCCGCCGGUUCAUCGUCCGCGGUGUCAACUGGCGUGUCGUGAGACGUAUUGCCGGUGGGCUUAGCCCUUCUGGGGCGGCCCAACUAAUCCCGCCGCGGUGCUCUUCACUGAGUGUCGAGGUAGGCCGGCACGUUUACUUUGAACAAAUUAGAGUGCUUAAAGCAGGCUAAAACAUCGCCUGAAUAUUGUGUGCAUGGAAUAAUGGAAUAGGACCUCGGUUCUAUUUUGUUGGUUUUCGGAACCCCGAGGUAAUGAUUAAUAGGAACGGAUGGGGGCAUUCGUAUUGCGACGUUAGAGGUGAAAUUCUUGGACNGUCGCAAGACGAACAGAAGCGAAAGCAUUUGCCAAAAACGUUUUCAUUGAUCAAGAACGAAAGUCAGAGGUUCGAAGGCGAUCAGAUACCGCCCUAGUUCUGACCAUAAACUAUGCCAGCUAGCGAUCCGCCGACGUUCCUCCGAUGACUCGGCGGGCAGCUUCCGGGAAACCAAAGCUUUUGGGUUCCGGGGGAAGUAUGGUUGCAAAGCUGAAACUUAAAGGAAUUGACGGAAGGGCACCACCAGGAGUGGAGCCUGCGGCUUAAUUUGACUCAACACGGGAAACCUCACCAGGCCCGGACACCGGAAGGAUUGACAGAUUGAGAGCUCUUUCUUGAUUCGGUGGGUGGUGGUGCA